AGGAAGACACGGUGCAGGAUCUCUAUGAUCCGUGCAGAAGGGCAAAGGAGAGUUCUGGAGUCCUCGGUGGCUUUUUCAGGCUUUUAUUGAGUUUACCAGAUUCCAGGCCUUCUUGAGCCUAGAUCCUGGGUCAGUGCAGCACAGCCAGCAAGAGGACCCAGAGAGUGUGGUGGGCCUGAAGGAUGAAGAGUAGAGCUAGCCUCAAAUGGAAGAAGAUGCUUUGACUGGAGACCAGUGAGCAGUAGAGUCUGGAUUAUGCAUGCAUCCAUCAUCCAUCCAUCUGUUCAUCCAUCCUUCCAUCCACGUGUAUGUGCAGGAGACUCAUGCAUGUGGAAUGUUACUCUGUGGGCACCAGGCACUAUGCUAAAUCCCGCAAUUAUAGUUGUCAUCAAGACAGAGCCUACCCCUGCUCUCUUAAACCUCACAGUCUUGUACACAAGACAGCCAUCAAGAAACAUUUGCAUAAAUAAAUAUUAACAAAAUUGAAACUGUGAGACAGGUGACAUUCCUGGUGCUGAGGGUGUGUGAAGAUGGUCAGACACUGCUCCAAGGAGGAGUUAACAUUUCGUU